AGUCAGAUUGCGAAUACCAGCGGUCCUGCUUGGUGGAACCAUGGACAUUAAAGGCUUUAAGGAACGAUGGAUCACUUGAACUUCUCCCCCACUGUGGCUGGUCCAGAUACAUCCCUGAACGAAAGCAGUACUCCCAUGGGCCUGAUUGCGACGACUUGACCAUGGCUACAACAACAGCUUGUGCAUCAUGGACGUCCAUGAAUGUUCUGGAUGCCAUGGAUGUCAAAUCGCCAUUUUUGUGUCCCAGUCUGCCUCUCCUUUAAUUUUUCAGACUGCACAGUGAUUGUGGUAAUGAAGGCCAUAUUCUAUCUUACCUUGUCCCACCACCCAUUUCUCAUUAGCCACCUGGCUUAGCAAGAGGAUAAUCCUGUCAGCAACAGUGGCCAAUAGGCAUCAGGGAACACCAGAUGAGCUUAGCCCUUUGAGUUGAUGGAACAAUAUUCUGCUGUGAAAAAGAUCAUUUUGGUGUCAUUUUAUUUUCAGCAUUUUUACCUUUUAAGCUUUUAUGUUACAAGGUAAAAUCAAAAGUAAUGUGUGCAUUGUUUUCAGUGUGGACUUUUAAUUCAAAAGCAAAAAAUAUAAGGUUAAUUUUUUA